rnacentral:rRNA from 1 species
GGAUGUGAUCAUACUAUCACUAACCCACCGGAUCCCAUUGGAACUCUGAAGUUAAGCAUGCUUGGGCGAGAGUAGUACUAGGAUGGAAGGCCUCCUUUUUCCACCCU